rnacentral:tRNA from 1 species
UGCGGGGUGGUCCAGCGGCUAAGACGUCCGGUUUUGGUCCGGAAGAUGAGGGUUCGAUUCCUUCCCCCGCAG